GUGGGGAAUAUUGGACAAUGGGGGGAACCCUGAUCCAGCCAUGCCGCGUGUGUGAAGAAGGCCUUUUGGUUGUAAAGCACUUUAAGCGAGGAGGAGGCUACCGAGAUUAAUACUCUUGGAUAGUGGACGUUACUCGCAGAAUAAGCACCGGCUAACUACGUGCCAGCAGCCGCGGUAAUACGUAGGGUGCGAGCGUUAAUCGGAUUUACUGGGCGUAAAGCGCGCGUAGGUGGCCAAUUAAGUCAAAUGUGAAAUCCCCGAGCUUAACUUGGGAAUUGCAUUCGAUACUGGUUGGCUAGAGUAUGGGAGAGGAUGGUAGAAUUCCAGGUGUAGCGGUGAAAUGCGUAGAGAUCUGGAGGAAUACCGAUGGCGAAGGCAGCCAUCUGGCCUAAUACUGACACUGAGGUGCGAAAGCAUGGGGAGCAAACAGGAUUAGAAACCCUUGUAGUCC
rnacentral:rRNA from 1 species